rnacentral:lncRNA from 1 species
AAGCUCCCGGCAAAGAAAUCUUUGUCGGCCGGAUUUUUGCCCGAGGCUCUUUGCCGGGUGCAGCUCCCAGCAAAGGCUUUGCCGAGUGCAAAGUAGCCUUUGCCGGGAGUGUCCGGCUCCCGGCAAAACAUCCAAAUCCUGUAGUGUGGGUUACUGUUGACGACGUCGUCAACAUUACAUUGUGCUUAGAAUGUGAGUGCUCGCCACAAGGUCUGUAGAAAGCGACUGGUGUCCUAUUGUCAAUUGUACUAAAAUUCUUUAUUUAGUAAUUGUCACUUUUCACUUCCAUCAAAAAAAUUGUCACUUUUCACAAUAUUCUACACUUUGUUCAUUCUGCGGGAGAUCAAUUCUCGUUUUGAAAUAAAUUAAGGAUCGUAAGUGAAAACCGGCAGAUAAGUGAAUCAAUGCAAGAGGCUGGUCAUUCACAUGCAACAAUAAGUUUUAUCAAUAAUAAAUGGCAGCACAAGUGGGAGUAAGGGGAGGAUCGUCUCUUUAUUAGUAAUUGGUUCUUUAGCCAGGUCGAUAAUUAAAACGCAGCACAAGUAUAGUAGGAGCAUCUCCUUUCAGCCAAGCAAGAUGAGGAAAACGAGUAGUCCUAGUUGAGGUGAAGGGGGACAAGACAUCAGCAGAAGUGCAUAACAUGUAGUAUAGGAUUUGGAGGUACCAGGAUUUUAGGCUUUUGCUGUCGCAAUGACUACAUGAGGGCACACAGGUUUGAGAUUCUCAUGAACGCAUUGUGACAGGUUUGAGACACUUGACAAACCACUAGACACUCGGCAAGGAGCCAGAUUCCACUAGUGCUCGGACUCACUAUCCUAAUGAAUGGUCUUUAAUUGCUCUGCAAGCUACGUCACUUGAGAUCCCACACUCAUAGUGACCUUACCCCUCGCAUGGGUAGAGAUUGCCAAGUUGAUCAUCAAAUUUAUAUACCAAGCUGGGGUAGGUCCUUAGUCAUAUUUAAAUAGCAAUUUAGAUAAGUUGUCACCCUUGAAGUUUUAGUAGUUAAUAUAAUUAGUGCCGUGUAACACUCCACAAACGCGAGAGUGAGUUCCCUUCUCAAAGUCGACUUCUAAUGAAACUAAACAACUAAGCACAUAGAGAUCCCAAACCCAAUUAGUUAAGUAAAGGCUAUGAUUAUUUAGGUGAGUAUUUCUAAAUUAGUUAAGCAAGAUUGAGUUGUUGAUCAUAUUUAAAUGAAAUACACAAUUCAUAGUGAAACAAAUAAUUAGUAUCCAAUAUAAGGUUCAUAGUAGUGGGGUGCCUGUCUGUUGGAAGAGCAAGGUCCCAAAUCCCAAUAGCUUGGAACAUCACUAGACAUCUCUAUGAUAUCACGUACCUAUAUGUUUGCACAUCUAUGAGAUACUUAUGUAUGUAUGCAUGACAUAAUAUAGGAAGUAUGAAAUAGAGUACAUAUGAGAGAUAGUAUAAGGCGAGAAAGGUUCAGUGUGUGGCUUAACUCCUAUGUGAGUGCAAGGUUGUAGCAAAUAAAUAUGAUGCUUGAUGAGUACAAUGCACAAGAAUAAAUGACAUCAUAUACUCAAUGCACGAGAAUAAAUGACAUCAUAUAAUAUGCAUUGACGUUGUUUG